rnacentral:lncRNA from 1 species
CAUGAUGCACGAGAUAGCAUAAGUAGUAGUAGGAAGCAGCUCUUAUUUGUGGCGUCGGUAUACAUCAUACUAGGUAGAUGGUUCAAUUGGCAUGGAUGGGUGGUGGAGCCUUGAAGUGCUUGUGAUGGGGAGCCCACGGCUUCUUCUCAGGAGUUGGUGGCUUCUUGUAUGGAGUUGAUGGAGGUGUUUCUACUGGAGGGUGGCCAGGGUAGUGACCCUGGGGUGGUGAAGGUUCUUUUGUCGGUGGUGGCCUCACUAUUAUUGGCGGUAGAGUUGGUGGCUUGGGCGUUGGCGGUGGUCUCACUACUCUUGGGGGUAGAGUUGGUGUCUUGUGUUUUGGUGGUGGAGGUGGCUUAACAGGAGUUGGUGGCUUGUAUUCUGGGGGUGGUUUCUCCACCGGAGGUGGCUUAUAAACUGGAGUUGGUGGCUUGUAUUCUGGGGGUGGCUUCUCCACUGGUGGUGGCCUGUAAACAGGGGUUGGUGGCUUAUAUUCUGGGGGAGGCUUCUCCACUGGAGGCGACUUAUAAACAGGGGUUGGUGGCUUGUAUUCCGGGGGUGGCUUCUCUACGGGAGGUGGCCUGUAAACAGGGGUUGGUGGCUUCUCCACCGGAGGUGGCUUAUAAACGGGGGUUGGUGGCUUGUAUUCUGGGGGUGGUUUCCCCAGUGGUGGAGACUUGUAAACAGGAAGAGGUGGUUUGUGCUCAUAUGGGGGUGGCUUGUGGUCAUUAGCAAGUGAGGGAGUGGUGAGGACCACCAAUCCAAGGAACAACACGAGUGAGCAAGCAGAAGACAUGUUUGGGCUCUGGUGAUGCACAAGUAGAAGAAAUGGGAACCAUUUAUAAUGCUUCGAGACCUUGGUUAGCACCAAAAUAUGUCAAAAUCUUGAUUACUUCAUUUCAUACAUAGAUUUAAAAUUAUUUCAAUCAACCAUGAUCCUUAAUUUUCUGG